GAUGAACGCUGGCGGCGUGCUUAACACAUGCAAGUCGAACGGUGAAAGAGAGCUUGCUCUCUGGAUCAGUGGCGAACGGGUGAGUAACACGUGAGCAAUCUGCCCCUGACUCUGGGAUAAGCGCUGGAAACGGCGUCUAAUACCGGAUACGAGCUGCGAAGGCAUCUUCAGCAGCUGGAAAGAACUUCGGUCAGGGAUGAGCUCGCGGCCUAUCAGCUAGUUGGUGAGGUAACGGCUCACCAAGGCGUCGACGGGUAGCCGGCCUGAGAGGGUGACCGGCCACACUGGGACUGAGACACGGCCCAGACUCCUACGGGAGGCAGCAGUGGGGAAUAUUGCACAAUGGGCGAAAGCCUGAUGCAGCAACGCCGCGUGAGGGACGACGGCCUUCGGGUUGUAAACCUCUUUUAGCAGGGAAGAAGCGAAAGUGACGGUACCCGCAGAAAAAGCGCCGGCUAACUACGUG
rnacentral:rRNA from 1 species